rnacentral:rRNA from 1 species
AACGAACGCUGGCGGCAUGCCUAACACAUGCAAGUCGAACGAGACCUUCGGGUCUAGUGGCGCACGGGUGCGUAACGCGUGGGAACCUGCCCUUAGGUUCGGAAUAACUCCCCGAAAGGGGUGCUAAUACCGGAUAAUGUCUUCGGACCAAAGAUUUAUCGCCUUUGGAUGGGCCCGCGUUGGAUUAGCUAGUUGGUAGGGUAAAAGCCUACCAAGGCGACGAUCCAUAGCUGGUCGGAGAGGAUGAUCAGCCACACUGGGACUGAGACACGGCCCAGACUCCUACGGGAGGCAGCAGUGGGGAAUAUUGGACAAUGGGCGAAAGCCUGAUCCAGCAAUGCCGCGUGAGUGAAGAAGGCCUUAGGGUUGUAAAGCUCUUUUACCCGGGAUGAUAAUGACAGUACCGGGAGAAUAAGCUCCGGCUAACUCCGUG